CCGGCUAUCGGCACCGCGUGCCUGGGCUUGCAUGACGCACCUCAAGGCAGUGGGAUUGGGACAGGGGCUAUUUUUGGUGGUGCAGAUAAUGGGUUUCUGCACAGGAACGUGUUCCGGGAACGGAAGCCGUGCUGGGUGGAGGAGCACCUUCAGGGUUUUAAAGCACUUGGACUUGGCUUCAGCUGUGGACUUGCGUGGAGGCACAGAACGACGGGCACAGGAGCAGGCGGAGCUGGAACUGGUUUCUGGACUCUUCUCCCUGGAUGCUGUUCCCUAAAAACUCAGCCGGGAGGCGCGCUGCAGGGCGACAGUGCAGAGAGCUGUCUUGUCUGAUUGGGGGUGUACAGGCGGGGCUCUGAGAGGGAGGCCCAGCCUCAAACCGUCCUUUCCUUGGAGAGGACACCCUGGGGUGUCCUAAACACAGGGACACAGGCCUCUCUGCAUCUCCCAGGUCACUGCUUUCCGUACCGAAUGAAUGACUUGCUGUGACCUAGAGUCUAGCCCCAGUGCUUCUGUUGAGGGCUCCUUCCUUUGCCUGUUCUCCCUUUAGUCCGCCCAGGCUCCCUCCCUUGCCUCUGGCUCUGCAGUGGGCCUCGGCCGCCGGUUCCGUGGGCCGCCACUGGGUGGCGCAGCUGCCCGCGCGUGCUGAGGGGCCGCGGAGCGGUGCAGCCAGCCUGGCCUCCCAGACCUCCAGCCUGCAGCAGCCCUGCCGCCUUCUGUCAGCCUAGGCUCCGGGCUCCUGGGGCUGAGGAGGUCGGGAUCGUGUCGGCAAAGAGCAGGGUCUCCAAGCUCUGCCAGGGCAGUGGCUCUUUCCCCCAGGAAGUCCUCUCUGGGGUGCAGUGAACUGGACAACUGCCUUCGAAGAGAAGGGUCUGUGCACACAGAUGGAGUGACUGGGGUGGGGGUGGGGGCGUCUUCAUGGGAACACACCCUGAGCCCUUCUCGGCGCCAGGCAUUUUACAACUGUGAACUCCUUACAUUCUCACAACCCUACAGGCUCUUUUGACAGUGGAGGACACUGGCACAGGUUGUCAGCUAGUCAGUGGCGGGACCUGGGUUCUAACCCCGGCAUUCUGAUGGCCCCCAGCCUCCUCUCAGGGAGGAGGCGGGCAGACCUGGCCGGGGACUGUGCCUGUAGUCAUGACUUUGAUGCCCCUCGGAUGGAGGCUUCAUUCACUCGGUUUUCCAACAGAUGUUGAUGCAGGGCUUCCUGCUGGCCAGGCAGCGCAUGUGGCCCUUGCUGUAUGCUCCACGACUCCAGCCACAGUCCUUGCCCUGUGGAACUGGUGGGGGAGACAGAGAUGAACCAAAAAACAAAAACCAACAAAUAACAAAACAACCCAAACGAAAAAAAAAAAAUAAAAAAAAUAAAAAAAAUCACACUUGUGACAACUGCCAAGUGUCCUAGAGAAAGGGUUCUCCCUCUCUCUUAUCUGCCUCCUCCUCUUCUUCUGGGUCCUUCUCCAUCCCUCCUGUCCCAGACCCACAUGGCGUAUCUGAACACAAUGCAGCGGUUGAGAAGCCAGCUCAGAUCUAGGGAUGGAUGGUGACUGGACUAGGGGCACAGCCCUUUGUGACGUAGAAGGCAGGUCACAUUCAUUGACUUGUUUGGUCUGGUCCAGGGCCAGCUGGUGAGUCUCCAGGGGAGGCACCUAACAGGAGGUGAUGCUUUAAUCCAUGCAAGUUUCUGGGGAAACUGCGAGGGGUCUUUAGUUUCAGACUUGGGUUUGAAUCUAGGCUUUCCUUGGGUCCACCCGGGCUCUGGGUUCUUUUUGUGCUCCCGGGUAAGUCACCCACCUCUAAGCCUGGCUCUGCUCUGGGAGCCUGGAGAGGUCUGACCUCUGACCCUUGCAUAGAUCUUUCCAGAGGAGCCAGCAUUGCUGGGUCAUGUUUCAGCUUUUCCAAGUGCCAUGGGCCAUGUUUCCUCUGAGUACUCGUUGUCAGAAGAAUCAGCUGAAAUAUGUCCCUUGAGCCACCUGGCACCCCUGCCCAGCCAGCAGGAUGGGGGGCUGGGUCACAGCCACCAGGCGCUCCUUCCGGGAGGUUCCCUGGCUCCCCCCCCUCCCGCUUUCUGGAGCAGGGUGGAGGGAGUGCCAAGGUAAUGACGUUGCCACACCAAACCUAAAGUCAUGCCUAUACAUGGCAAAGGGAGCCCUCUGGCCUGUCCCCAUGCGGCAUGAAUCCAUCAUCAGUCCUGCCAGGCCCAGCUCUGCUGCAGCUGGGCCUCCCCCAGAGCUCACUGGGGGGAUGGCCCCUCCCCAGAGCUCCUGGGUUCCUUGACACCUCGCUGCUGCCAGUCCUCAGCUCAGUGCUGCACACCCCUGCCCCAUGUCCCCACUUCCCUUCCUGCUUUGUGACUCUCCCUUUCUCCCAGGUGCAUCCUCAAUGCGCUGGGCAGCCUGGUAGGCUGCAGGAGCUCUGCACUCACUUUCUGCACUGUUUACCCCUCUCCCCGCAGUUCCUCCCCACACUGCCCACCAGAGGAUGCGAACAGAGGAGGCAAGCUCUUCUCCCUGUUCUCGGGGUGCGUCUGAGCCUUGUGCCUCUCCAAGCCCUAGAACUUUCUUCUCCCAGGGCUCUUCCCUUUGAGAAGAGGCCUUCCCCUUUCUCCUUUCCUGGGGUGCUGGCCAGGUGUCUGACACCUGUUGUCCUCUGGACAUUGUAUCCCAUUGCUCAACGGGUCCUACUGAGCCCACCUUCCUUGUCCAUUGCCUGUGUCCUCUCCGUGCCCAUCACCACUGAUUUCCCUCGUCGGUCCCCACCUGGACCAUUGCUGUAAAUUGCUGCCGGGGCUCCUGUCUCUGGCCCUCCCCAUCCUCUCCAACUGAGUGUGUUCUCCACUGUAAAUCUCCUCACAUCCUUUCAUCCCUCCCUUCCUUCAACAAAUGUGCCAGGUACUGCUCCAGGUACCUGGAACCAGGAGGAGAUGGCCAUGACCAAGAUAGACAAGGUUCCAAGUGUCCUUGGGCCACCUCUGUCCCACUGUCCCCAGGGGUUUCCAGGACCUGGGGUAAGGCCUACACACCUCACUUGGGCCUUUGGAGUGUGUGGGUAGCAGACGAUUUUUGCAGCCCCUGGUUUUCCUGUGAGCUCAGCUCUGGCCUCGCUGACCGCUCUGAAUCCUCCGUCCAACACGGCAGGCCAGUGCUCUGGUCUGUUGUGUGCUCUUUGCCUUCUGCCUCGGGUUCACGGCCAGCUCUGUGCUUCUGCACUGCUCCUCUCACAGGCCUGGUGUCCCCUAAACCAGAGGGACUGAGAAAGUCAAAAGAGGCCCUUUAGAGAAUUGAGCUCAGAGUCUCCAAAGUCAACCUUUCCAAGCCACCGACGUCCUGGAGUCACCUCUUCCUGUCCUUCGCCCAAGCUUUGAGCAGGAUUCUGUUGACUCCCUUAGAAAUGAUCUGGGUGCGUCCUACGUACGUAGCAUCUGCUGUUAUUGCUACGGGAAGGUGACCCUGCCCCACCCGAAACUCCUCACAAGAGACUUUGAAGUCCUUGUUUUGGAAAGCUUGGGAUGAAGGUUCAUGAUUUCAAGACAUCUUGUGACACCUCCUGACCUACUAGUUUCAAUGAAGGACACUGAGAAAAAUCCUGUUGAAAAUUAUUAUUAAAAGAUGGGAACUGAAGAAUAAAAAAGCAGGGGAGGAAGGGAAGGCCCAGAAGCCUUCAUUGGCCAAUCUCAGACACCGGGAGCAUCCCACCUCCACCCUCAAUAAUGACCUCAGGCUGCUGACUUGUCCUCUUGGGGCCUGAUUUCAACCGCGUUAGAGCUGUUCUCUGAACCAAAUGAGGCAGUCCACGUAGACAGGCUUCCGUCUGUGUCCAGGUGGUGGGUGCUGAGACACAUCAGGGAGGCAAAGCCAAACCUGCCAAGGGGGGCUCAGCUCAUUACUCACAGUGGUCCAAGCCAUUCUGAAGCCUAGAAAGCUCUGGAAGUCUGAAGUUUUCUACUGGUUUGCAAGAACCCAAUCUGGUAGCAGCCUGUGGCCUGAUGGAUGCCGCUCUGUGUAUGCGUGUCCACUUGGGUGGAUGUGGACGGUCUCUGCAGAGCCCUCGGGAUGUUUCAUUAUUAGGGCAGCACAGACCCCAGGGGAUCACACAGGAUGUGCACGGGAGUUUUGCUCUAAAUUGUGAACAUUCUCGGUUCUGAAAUGCUUCCGGCUCCAAGGGACUCGGAUGUGGGAUUUCAGAUUUGUUUUAGAAAGUUCUUUAGAUGAAAUAAACUCUCGAGGUCUGAGAGGGAUUCUCACGGUCUUUGAGUAAGGAUCCUUGAAUCCUAUAAUGAUACAUUCAUUCACCCAACGUAUAUUUCCUUUUUCUUUAUUUUUUUAGUAUCUAUUUUUUAAUAUCUUUAUUCACUUUUUUUUUAAUGUGGUGCUGAGGAUCGAACCCAAUGCCUCACAUGUGCAAGGCAAGCACCCUACCACUGAGCUACCGCCACAGCCCUACAACACAUAUUUCUAGUUGUUUGAAAAUAAAAUAAUGCAGACCUACCCUUUUCCAGUCAUCAUGGAGUGCUUCUGAAAUCCUGAAUAGAAUAAGCGCAUAUUGGUCUCUGAUAAGGCCCAGCCUCUGCUUUUGUUUCCCACUUUUUAAAAGUUAGGUAAAAAGCAUUAGUGCAUAUCUAUAAUCACAGAUGCGUGGGAGGCUGAGGCAGGAGGAUCACAAGUUUAAGGCCAGCCUGGGCAAUUUAGCAAGAACCUGUUUUAGAAAAGAAAAAAUGGGUUGGGGAUGUGACUUGGUCUUGUUAGGGCUCUUGUCAAGCAUGUAUGAAGCCCCAGGUUUCAUCCCCUGUACCAGAAAAAACAAACAAACAAAUAGAAAAACCAAUAGUUGAAAAAUUUUACUAUAAUCAAAAGUCAUUUGACUGGAGUUAACACAAAUGUUCUGGUAGCACCAUGACCGAAUAAAAGAGUAACCAACAA